AUUGAACGCUGGCGGCAUGCCUUACACAUGCAAGUCGAACGGUAACGCGGGGGCAACCCUGGCGACGAGUGGCGAACGGGUGAGUAAUACAUCGGAACGUACCCAGUAGUGGGGGAUAGCUCGGCGAAAGCCGGAUUAAUACCGCAUACGACCUAUGGGUGAAAGCGGGGGAUCGCAAGACCUCGCGCUAUUGGAGCGGCCGAUGUCGGAUUAGCUAGUUGGUGAGGUAAAGGCNCACCAAGGCUACGAUCCGUAGCUGGUCUGAGAGGACGACCAGCCACACUGGGACUGAGACACGGCCCAGACUCCUACGGGAGGCAGCAGUGGGGAAUUUUGGACAAUGGGCGAAAGCCUGAUCCAGCCAUGCCGCGUGUGUGAAGAAGGCCUCGG
rnacentral:rRNA from 1 species